UACGUAGGGUGCGAGCGUUGUCCGGAAUUAUUGGGCGUAAAGAGCUUGUAGGCGGUUUGUCGCGUCUGCUGUGAAAAUCCGGGGCUCAACCCCGGACUUGCAGUGGGUACGGGCAGACUAGAGUGUGGUAGGGGAGGACUGGAAUUCCUGGUGUAGCGGUGAAAUGCGCAGAUAUCAGGAGGAACACCGAUGGCGAAGGCAGGUCUCUGGGCCACUACUGACGCUGAGAAGCGAAAGCAUGGGGAG
rnacentral:rRNA from 1 species